ensembl:lncRNA
GGCCACCUCCCUCUUAUCCUACUGGCACUUGUCCUGUCUCUGGUUGUGGGGGUCCUGGUGUUAGGAAUGGCACUUUUCUUUUGUUGGCGACGUGGAAAGAAAAUCACAAAAGAUCUUGCCUCAGAUUCUAACCCUGAAAUGCACAACAAUCGUGAGCUCGGACAUGUGUAUGAUGAGAUCCAGGAGCCGCCUCGCUCUCUGCACACAGGGGCAGCUGGGACUAAAGCUGCUGAUGCUGUUUAUGCCAAUGCUCAAUUACCCACAAUCCUCUCGGAUGACACCACGUACUCAACGGUUCAAUUACCCACAAUCCCCUCUGAUGACACCACGUACUCAACGGUUCAAUUACCCACAAUCCCCUCUGAUGACACCACGUACUCAACGGUUCAAUUACCCACUAACCUCACUGGUGACUCUGCAUACUACACGGUUGCCUUACCCACAAUCCUCUCUGAUGACACCACAUAUAGCAUUGUUCAAUUACCUAAAAUGCAUCCUGGUGACAGCACAUAAUUCAACUCACUAUCCAGCUUCUCUUGCCAGCAAAUCCAUAUGCCCCUCCCCCAUCUGACUGUCUUAGGUAUGCCUAAUGGGUCAACCACACCCUCUAAAAAGGCCACUUUUUGAAGCAUGUUUUUAUAACUAGCACUGUUUUCAUCUUUAAUACAUACAGUCAUUUCCAUUGGUAUAUGGUCAUGUGAAGGACAGACCACCCUGUAAAACUUAAAAAACAAGACCUGAGUUAGCAGAGUUAGUUUUUUAUCAGUGCCAGUUGUGCUUUUGUCAGUGUUUAUAAUCUG